GUUUACUCAGAGCAUGUGCUUUAUCAUAAUGAGGGAUUGAAGUUUUUAUAAGUUAUUUUUAAUCGACGGAAAACAUUAUUCUAAACAAAAAAUUGAGCAUCGGUAUGUCUCUAAAAUGCACUGAUCUUUUUAUAAGUUCGUCUAAACUUCGAAACGUACAGCCGCCCGUAAGAAAAUUACAAAAU